AGGGACAGACACGGAUGUACAAAGACAAAAAUAUGAACAAAUAUUUGAGUGAUUUAUUUGGACCUGGAAGUAUGGCGGUUUCCACUCGUAGACCCAAGAGAAUGGACAGUCUGCCUGUCAAUCACUGCAGGCCCUCCAAGCUGAUGUCUGAAGGCGGGGCCAUUGAAGGACGGCAAGCACCCGGCAAUGAAGCCCUACCACGUGAGCAGGCCGAUGACGGUUUGGAUUGUGCAAUGAGGCUUCCGUAGACCGUUCCCCUCAGUGAUGACGAAAUACGGCGGGUACUGUGGAUAUAUGGCGGGUACUGUGGAUAUAUGGCGGUUGACAAUGCUCCGAUCUCACAAGUGCUGCAUGAUUGGGUCCUCUGGCCCCACCAAGCACUUUCAGAAAUUGCUCUGGAUGAGGGAAAGAGGAAGUUUGCCCCAUCCACUCGUGUUGUGAGUUUCCAAGUGACCUAAUUUUCCUGCAGCGGUCCCAAGCUGACCUUCCACAGGUAAUCGCUUUCUACUACCAUGCAGAAGCAGGAUGGACUGGAUGGGAUGGUCAGACACAAACUUCAGGAACUCCGAGAUUGUGGGAGCACUGCUCAGGUGCAUUUCUUCAGAUGUUGCCGAGACCGUGUCACCCAUCGUGUUUCGUUCACAAUAAGUUUCCAGUAUGUGAGUCUGAAAGACCCUCGGCCCUUUCUUCCUGUCAUCUCUGAGCCUCAGCUUCCACAUCUGCAAACUGGAAAUGACACCUUGCUCUUGCUCUCAGGCGUGGGGUGAAAAUCAAGCGUGGUCGUCUUUAUGAAGUGCUCAGCACACAGGAGGGCCAGCAACUAUUCUCAGAGGGUCUUGGGCAUCUCUUUGGAAAUGGACCUCUUUAACUCUGCUGUGAUGCCAGGAGGUAGCCCAGCAUCCCAGACCCUGCCUUUCUCUGAGCUGCAUUCUUUCCUGGCGGCCGUGGACGUCUGACAUUGAAGCUGAUGUCACUCCGCGUCAAGUUGGGGCUGGAGGGUGCUUGGUAACUGGCAGUGCCCAAAGGUCUCCUGUCUUUCCUUCUCUGUAUAAAGUUCCUUCUUUUCUGGGCAGGGGUUAAUUUGGUGAAAAUCAGGUGAAGACUUUGACGGUUGGGUGUGAGAGUGUUAAGCGUAAAGACGAAUGGCUCUAAGGUGCAUUCAAAGACCCUCGUGACCUCUAGAGUCAGACACACCUCUGGUUCCUCUAUUGCUUUGUUCGCACCAGUUUUAUCCAGAAGGUGGCAUCGCAGAGCCUGAUGUGCACUCCCCAAAGUCCAAAGGAUCCACAUUUCUUUGUGGUUAGACACUAACGUAUGUAGCCUUUACACAGCAUGUUGACAUUUCAAAGACUUUUCAUUUAUCCCUAUACUUGGUUCAGUUACUUUCAAGCCGGGGGAGAUGGGGGUCAUUACGACUUCCUACCCAGUGAAAACCUGAGACCUGAGGUACUUAGAAAACUCUGUGCCCCAACUCAUGUUCCUUCCCCAGGCGGUAGGUACAAAAGUGAACAAGAAUGGCUUGUUUGCUUGUCAGAAGCAGUUGUACAACUUAAUAACUGUGAUGCCUCCUCCUUCUUGUACACACACUUGUGCCCGCCCACUGCCCAUCAAAGUCAUGUUGGGUCAUUUCAUCGGGGGGAGGGAUGGGGAAGACGUAGAUGAAUGUUUUAUGGGUAAGUCUUCUGAGUACUGGCACUUAACAAAAUAAGUCCCAAGGUUGACGCUUCCAAAAGGGUGACUGUUUAAUUGGUGGCAUCUCAAACUCAGGACCCUGAGGGAAAGACAAGGUGACCCUCCCAACUUAAGGUGGGGUCUGGCUUGGUGGCUCUUUCCCAGGAGUCCACUCUGGAGCCUGCCACAUCAGUUGCGUGAUGAGGCCUGUACUCAACGAAUGUGUACUUCCCAGCGGGGAUGUUAAUGAGUUAUGAAUUCUCGGUGUGAAGUAUUUCAUGUCACACCCUGUUAGCCUGAAGUGGAUUUUCAUUCCUCUUACGUAUGUCGGUGACAGAAAGGGAAUGGAUAUCGAACACCUGAAGGUAAGGCCUUUGCACUUGUGCUGCCGAAGGAGCACGAGGUAAGGCCUUUGAAAUGGAGUGGAUUCGUUGUCACACUGGUUCCCUGUUAUAGGCGCACGUUUCCACGGAUGAGCAUUAUUUCAUUGGAUACAUGUACCACAUUUUCUUUAUCCAUUUAUACUGUUGAUGGAUGCUCACAAGUCUCUCAUGUCUUACAUGGUGAGAAUAAUACCGUAGGGAGGAUAUGGGAUGAGAAUGUGUCUUUGACAUAGUGGCUACCUGUCGUUUGCAUAAACGCCCAGAUACGGGAUUGAUACAUCAUAUGGGAGCUCAAUUAUUAAUUUUUUGAGAGGCCACCCUACUAUUCUCCGUAGUGUUACCCAAUGUGGGGCUGUCAGGUUGUCAGACGCCCUUUACAAAGAAGCUGAAAGAGUACGUCUACCAUGCAGAGCAAUGGCCUACUAGGAAUCACUGGGAAUCCUCAUGUUGUGUACGGGAAUGUGGUUGGAAUUGUAUCCACGCGUUUCCAUCAAAACUUCCUGCACUCUUCCGGUGAUCAUACCUUGCCGGUGGCAAGAAGACGAGCGGCGUGUGGGUGCUGUCAAUGAACCUUCCAUGAGGCAGGGGACCUUUAGAUUCUCACGGACAUGAGUUGAUGAGCUGGAUGUCCGGGAGUCUCCUGGGUCAGGUGUCCAUGGUGGAGGAUUCAUCCCUGGGCCUUUGUUUCUACGCCAUUUCGGGCCAUUCAUUUCUCCCGAUUAGUGAAACCUAGGGUCCAGAAGGGAUAUAUGAGUAAACGCUGGGAGUGUAAAAAACUUGCAAGGGGGUGCGUAGAGUAUCUUAGUGUGAAAGUG